GGACUACUGGGGUUUCUAAUCCUGUUUGCUCCCCUAGCUUUCGUGCCUUAGUGUCAGGUAUUGUCCAGGGACUCGCCUUCGCCACUGGUGUUCCUCUCGAUAUCUACGCAUUUCACUGCUACACCGAGAAUUCCAGUCCCCCCUCCAAUCCUCCAGCCGGAUAGUAUCCAAUGCAGUUUCGGAGUUGAGCUCCGAGAUUUCACAUCAGACUUACCCGGCCACCUACGCACCCUUUACGCCCAGUAAAUCCGAACAACGCUUGGGACCUCUGUAUUACCGCGGCUGCUGGCAC
rnacentral:rRNA from 1 species